AUGUACACCGCCAGGAAGAAGAUCCAGAAGGACAAGGGCGUCGAGCCCUCCGAGUUCGAGGACACCGUUGCGCAGGCUUUCUUUGACCUGGAGAAUGGCAACCAGGAGCUCAAGAGCGACCUCAAGGACCUGUACAUCAACACUGCAAUCCAGAUGGAUGUUGUUGGCAACAGGAAGGCCGUGGUGAUCCAUGUGCCGUACCGUCUGCGCAAGCCCUUCAGGAAGAUCCAUGUCAGGCUCGUCAGGGAGCUGGAGAAGAAGUUUAGCGGCAAGGAUGUUGUCUUUGUUGCAACAAGAAGGAUUGUGAGGCCACCCAAGAAGGGUUCUGCUGUUCAGCGCCCUCGCACCAGGACCCUGACAGCUGUUCAUGAUGGUAUCUUGGAGGAUGUCGUGUACCCAGCUGAGAUUGUGGGGAAGCGUGUCAGAUACCGUUUGGAUGGUGCCAAGGUCAUCAAGAUCUACUUGGACCCAAAGGAGCGCAACAACACUGAAUACAAGCUGGAGACCUUCUCUGCAGUCUACCGCAGGCUUUGUGGGAAAGACGUUGUCUUUGAGUACCCUGUGACUGAAACCGCCUGA
rnacentral:rRNA from 1 species